rnacentral:rRNA from 1 species
GAUGAACGCUGGCGGCGUGCCUAAUACAUGCAAGUCGAGCGAACAGACGAGGAGCUUUCUCCUCUGACGUUAGCGGCUGACGGGUGAGUAACACGUGGAUAACCUACCUAUAAUUCUGGGAUAACUUCGGGAAACCGGAGCUAAUACUGGCUAAUAUAUUGAACCGCAUGGUUCAAUAGUGAAAGACGCUUUUGCUGUCACUUAUAGAUGGAGCCGCGCUGGAUUAGCUAGUUGGUAAGGUAACGGCUUACCAAGGCAACGAUGCGUAGCCGACCUGAGAGGGUGAUCGGCCACACUGGAACUGAGACACGGUCCAGACUCCUACGGGAGGCAGCAGUAGGGAAUCUUCCGCAAUGGGCGAAAGCCUGACGGAGCCACGCCGCGUGAGUGAUGAAGGUCUUCGGAUCGUAAAACUCUGUUAUUAGGAAAGAAAAAAUGUGUAAGUAACUAUGCACGUCUUGACGGUACCUAAUCAGAAAGCCACGGCUAACUACGUG